CGUGACAACAGCACUGGAGAGGAGCGCCGAUUAAUUUCCCUGAAGCUGACUUCUCCUGAUUUUUCAUCUCGAAAGCAAAUAAAUAAGAGCACUGGAGGGUAAGCGAAAAGACGUGUAAUGGGUGACUUUCCCCAGGAGCGAUGAGUAAAGAGCCGACAUUACUUUUCUGAAAGGUAUUCUGUUACAUGCUUCGGAGUAACGAGCCCGACGCUGACGAGCGGUUGUGCGUCUUGGAGAGGGCAGGGACGCCGGAGACGCGCAAAGGCAGCAGCAGCGCAGUCUGUUUGGAGCCACCGGUUGAGAUCAUUCAGCACUCCGAGCACUGACUGUCUGAACGGAUUGUGGGAUACAAAUCGACGACCUCCACCUCCCCGAAAUCUUCCUAAACAAACGAUGGACAUCCUCCUCGGCCCCCUGAAUAGCCACGAAAGCGUCGGAUGAGUGAAAUCGGAGAUGCUGCGCACCACGGCCAAAAUCCUGGAGCUUUUUUGAACAGGACUGUGGGUGUGUGCGCGUCGGGCUCGCCGUUACCUCCGGACUACACUCGCCAACUUCCCCCGCUUUCCAUCAAGUCAUGUCUGAUACAGAGCGAUGGGCAAGUUUGACGACAACGAGAGGAUAAUCCUCAACGUCGGGGGCACCAGGCACGAAACCUACAAAACCACUCUGAAGACCCUGCCGGGGACGCGUCUGGCCCUGCUCGCCUCCGACUCGGACAUCGACUCCGUGCUGGAUCAGCUGCAACAAGUCCCCGGCUUCAUCGAGUACAACGCGCGGACCAACGAGUACUUCUUCGACCGCCACCCGGGUGUCUUCGCCUACGUGCUCAACUACUACCGCACCGGGAAACUCCACUGCCCGGCGGAUGUGUGCGGACCGCUGUUCGAGGAGGAGCUCUCCUUCUGGGGAAUCGAUGAGACGGACGUGGAGCCCUGCUGCUGGAUGACAUACCGGCAGCACCGGGACGCGGAGGAGGCUCUGGACGUGUUCGAGCUCAACGUGGACAACGGGGACGAGGACGACGAGAUAGGGAAGAGGCUGGGCAUUGAGGAUGUGGCUGCCGACGGUAAUAUCAGCCUGUGGAGGAAGUGGCAGCCGGUGAUCUGGAAUCUAUUCGAGGAUCCCUACUCCUCCAGGGCGGCGAGGUUUAUUGCCUUUGCAUCUUUGUUCUUCAUCCUGGUCUCAAUCACCACCUUCUGCUUGGAGACUCAUGAGGCUUUCAACACCAUCAUCAACAAGACUGAGCUGAUGCGGGACAGCAACGUGCCGGACUCAGGCCCGCAGUACGAGAUUGAAACUGAUCCUGCUCUCACAUAUGUGGAGGGCGUUUGUGUUUUCUGGUUCACCAUCGAGUUCCUGGUGCGUGUGACCUUCUGCCCAGUCAAAUUGGAAUUUAUUAAGAGUGUUCUCAACAUCAUUGACUUUGUGGCUAUCCUGCCUUUCUAUUUGGAGGUAGGGCUGAGUGGCCUUUCUUCCAAGGCUGCCAAAGAUGUGUUGGGUUUCCUCAGGGUGGUGCGCUUUGUUCGUAUCCUGCGUAUCUUCAAGCUAACACGUCAUUUCGUGGGGCUAAGGGUUCUGGGCCACACAUUACGGGCCAGCACCAAUGAAUUCCUGCUGCUUAUCAUCUUCCUAGCGUUGGGAGUGUUAAUUUUUGCCACCAUGAUCUACUACGCCGAACGAAUCGGUGCUAAGCCCAAUGACCCCACUGCUAGCCUCCACACCAAGUUCAAGAACAUCCCCAUUGGCUUCUGGUGGGCGGUGGUAACCAUGACGACACUGGGCUAUGGCGAUAUGUAUCCAGAGACCUGGUCAGGCAUGGUCGUGGGCGCAUUGUGCGCCUUGGCAGGUGUGCUGACGAUAGCCAUGCCUGUGCCUGUUAUCGUCAAUAACUUUGGGAUGUACUACUCCCUGGCCAUGGCCAAGCAGAAGCUGCCCAAGAAGAGGAAGAAACACAUCCCUCAGGUGGUGCAGGGAGGGUCCCCAACCUACUGCAAAGCCGAUCUCAACACCACCUGCAACAGCACUCAAGGUGACCUGUGCCACGUCAAAGGGGGCAGGGUACUAGAACGCAACCGCUCAGUUCUGUCAGCAGACUGCAGCGGAGGCAGUGACCUGACCAUGUCUCCAGAGGAGAGGGUCCCCAUGCGAAGGUCCAGCACCCGGGAACAGGACCGCCGGAGUGGGGGGACGUGCUUUCUGCUCGCUGCUAGUGACUACACCUGCCCUGCAGACGGAGGGUUACGAAAAACAGGCUAUGAAAAAUCCCGGAGCUUAAACAACAUAGCGGGCAUGGCUGGUAACGCCCUGAGGUUGUCUCCUGUGACCUCGCCCUACGGAUCGCCCUGCCCGCUGCGGCGCUCUCGCUCCCCUAUCCCCUCCAUCCUGUGAGAUGUCCAGCCCUGGGCCACUUUGGCCUAAACCAGCCCACAUCCUACCCCCAAAGAAACCACCUCCCUUUGCUAUUAUAUCUGAACUCCGUUCUAGAUAUUGUAACUAGUGGAUAAGUACUUAACUUUGUAGCUAAGACUAAUGUUAGUGGCUUGGGCAACCUGAGCAACUUCUCACUUCCCCCUUUUCCUUGAAGGUACAUGUGCUUAGCUAACAUCCUUAAGUAACUAGUCAGUUCUCCUGUGUCUCUUGGAGUUCUGUUUAGUUCGAUAUUGUCGUACUUUGAGACUUGCAAUAAAAGAACUCUGACUGGUGGCUUCAGAAGUAGCAGCCAUAACAUUUAAUAAAGGACAAAUUAAUAAUCAGGGAUAUUAGAUGUUGCUAUAUUUAGAUACCUUGAAAAAGAUGUGCUUCCAAAAAAAGAAAGAGAGAUGUCACUUCAUUUUAACCUCAUACGACUGUGACUUUGUCUUUGGUUUGCUACUUUAUUUUUGCGAUGGAGACGGGAGGGAUGGGCAUCGGGAUGGAGGAUUUGUCUUUCAGGACUGUGUUUCGACUCACACAAGCACACGUACAGUCUGUCACCCUUCACCUGCUGCUGGGCCUGCUAAUGUUUUUGCAUGGAUCAUCCUGUAACCAUCGUCUGCAAGCAAUGUGGCGAGGGGAGAAGGGACGAGGCAGACAUUGAGGAGAGCUUAAGGAAAUAUAUAUAUAUAUAUAUAUAUAUAUAAAAAAAUAUAUGAAGGAAUAUUUUUUAAUUUAAUGUUAUUAUGUUGGGGUUUAGGGGGGUAAACCCGACUUGUGUUGUGUCUCAUUUUGCCAUUGGCUUCACCAACAGUCCACCUAAGAGCCAACCGGGUGUUCGUUUCUCUCUGCAUGUGGGUUUUUGCUUGUCUGCUGCUAUUUUCGAUUAAUUUUCUCCCCACCUCCUUUAUGUUUUCUUUGCUUUGAUGGAGUGCCACCAAAGCUGUUAUGUCUCUGGUUGUUUGCUCACAGAUAACUGCAAAGAGGUUGUCUUUACUGGUUUCACACAAGCAGAGAGCAGCGUUCUAUCUUAAUGGCUUGGGGGAAGGCACCGCCAUGGUGGAAAGACAAUUCAUUUCCUAUUUGAAUGACGGUGGGAUAAGUCAUCAGUAUGAGGACCUAUUGCAGUGGGAGGACCCCAUUUGGAGCCAUAAGGCCACUCCUACAGGACAAUAUGGACGAGGAGGCACACAAAAACCAUUGACUGACAGCUGCCCAGCCAAUGGCUCAGUUAGCAGGAAAGGAACUUAAUGAUCAAAAGGAAAUGAUAAUCAUUUACCUUUUCCUGAUUUCUCUUUUUGUUUUCCUGUUUUGGAACUGUGGAGGGAAAAAAAGGAGAGCAAAGCAAACUGGACACGUCCUUAAAAGAGACUAUCUACUGUAUAGAUAUUGCUCCUGUAAAUAAGACAACAACACAGCACAUCUGGGCUAAGCGGCUCCGUCCACACAUCUGUCUUUUGAUGAUUGAGUAAGGUAACAAGGUGGUUGGUUGGUAAGUUGCGCCGUGACACUCAACGUCAAUCACUUUUCUUGCUGUGGUAUCCCCCUCGCAAUAAGUGUAUUAAGAUGUAUCAGUUGAGGCACUUUGUGUUCUAAAAAUGGAGUGUAUUCAUAUAUGAAAAUCUACAUACAGUAUAUACAGUACAGAGAGACAAACGUGCUAAGUUGAAUAAAUGUGACAUUAUGGUCCUCUCUGCUUUUGUUUCCCUUGGUAAUUUUUCAAUAGGUUAAUUGCUCUGCUGUGUGUUAAUGUAUGUGUGUGUAUCCUAAAAUUCCAGGGUAAGAUCUGCAGUUUGAAAGGCCAGGUCAGCGGAUACCAAUGAGUGGACUUGAUGCUGUCACUCUUCCAGUUAGUUUUAGCACAAACAUGAAUGAGACAGAGUUCCCCUGUGAUGCAGUCGCCGUUGUAGAAGUCCCCCCGGCCAUGCAUUCAACAUGCAACUACCCUGCGUUUGUGCUGCAGAUGUUUGUCUCCUCACAAACCAAAUUAUUCUUACCAGACUAUUCCUCAUAACUCCUGGUGGCUAAAAAAAAAAAACUGCAUAACUUGAUUCUUCCAAACUUUUCCCCUUGCAGGGGUGGAGCAAAAGUGUAGCAGAAGUUUACCAAGUUAUAAAGUGGGACUUCUAGAAUGGCUACAUCUGCACAGUAGCAAUCCCAUGUACCCAAACAAUCAGAUCGGAUUUGCAAUAAGCACCCGAAAACAAAAAGCGCCGAUCCACACUGUGAUUUCAGCAGCCCGUUAAAACAAGACGGCAGAAGGAAAACAGAGUGAAAAUGCAGCUCUAAAAGCUGAUAGAAAGGACUGGCAGGUGGCCCAACUUAUGUGUCAUGUUGGUUGCGACCUGCACAGUUGUUGGCUAGCUGUCAAGCGUCACCCUGUACCCACAAUCCUCCUCGUGUAGUACACACGCUGCUUUACUCUUUGAACUGACAAAGGGGUACCGUUCUUUGUGUAUUUUUAGGAUGACGUCGUAACCUGAAAAAGGGUGUUUAUUUUUUGAAUCCAGAACAUGUAUUUUUGUGUCUUACUGUUGAGUACAUUGCUCUUACCUGUAAAAGUCAUGGUAGUCUGAUGCUGUGCUUCUCCAUUGUGUCCUCAAACUGUCAGGCUUUUGAUCUGAGUUCAUGUUUUGUAUGUUUUACUGUAAGGCAAAUUCUAGUUUGAAGUCUGUAUUUGUGGAGCCUUUUGUUAAAAGUGCAUGCUGAAAAAAACCAUUAUGUCAAAUUGUAAAAAGAAAAAAUUGACAUACUGUAUAUCACGUUCAAAACAAUGUGUAUAGAGUAAAGGUAAAUGCUAUGUGAGAGAUUCACAUAAACUAUUUAUCUUUUAA